rnacentral:rRNA from 1 species
CYUACGGGAGGCASCAGUGGGGAAUAUUGCACAAUGGGCGCAAKCCUGAUGCAGCCAUGCCGCGUGUAUGAAGAAGGCCUUCGGGUUGUAAAGUWCUUUCAKCGGGGAGGAAGGYGAURAGGUUAAUAACCUYRUCRAUUGACGUUACCCGCAGAAGAAGCACCGGCUAACUCCGUGCCAGCAGCCGCGGUAAUACGGAGGGUGCAAGCGUUAAUCGGAAUUWCUGGGCGUAAAGCGCACGCAGGCGGUYUGUCAAGUCGGAUGUGAAAUCCCCGGGCUCAACCUGGGAACUGCAUUYGAAACUGGCAGGCUAGAGUSYWGUAGAGGGGGGUAGAAUUCCAGGUGUAGCGGUGAAAUGCGUAGAGAUCUG